GAGGAGACAGAAUUAACGAGUGCUGGAAGUGUAUAUGAGGAGGAUGUGAGUAAAGUUCAGCCAUGAAGAAAAGCGUCAGAGAUGUACCCAAAAAAAAAAAGAAGAAAAAAAGGGAUUCACCAGGGACAAAGACAAUGUUGCCUCAUUUGUUGUUGUUGAGAGACUCAGAUGCACUAACAUGAUAAGGAUGUUCAUAGUCAAAUACAGUAGAUUAUAUAUAAGACCCCCUAGCACUUCCUUGCAGCCCCUCAAGUGGUUCCUGGAUGGCAGUUAGAAAAUAUUGUUUUAUUAUUAUUUCUUAUUUGAAUGAAAUUGGCUCUGGAUUUAUUUGAUAAAGUUUCAUCAUGCUACAUUUAAACACACCCUAAAAUUUUAAUGAAAGCACCCCUAAAAAGAUACUAGUACUGUAGCAGAAAAGAAUGUCAUCACGCCAUAGACUAAACAGGAAAGGAAGACAGUUUCCUGUCCAGCACAGGAUCAAGAGGAGAAUGCAUUAUAUAGGCUGUGAGCAGACCUUCAGCUGAUGUUAUUUUGGGUGUACACAGUUGUUAUUUGUGCACUGUUUACAUUCCAUAUUUACAUUGUUUGUAAUGACUGUUAAAUACAGCUAAAACCCUAAUUGUUUGGAUCAAUCACAUUCUGCAUAAAGGUUCUUGCAUCCCA